UGAUUCUGACGCACGGAGGGUCCGGUUGGCAUCGAGGCUUCUGAGUUUCAGCCGGGCACGCCAGGAACUCCAGCGCAUCACUGAAUACUGAUGGUGAAAAGAGAUAGCCUUGCCUCAUUCUG